GAUGAAGAACGCAGCGAAAUGCGAUAAGUAAUGUGAAUUGCAGAAUUCAGUGAAUCAUCGAAUCUUUGAACGCACAUUGCGCCCGCCAGUAUUCUGGCGGGCAUGCCUGUCUGAGCGUCAUUUCAACUCUCAUGCCCCUAGGGCGUGGUGUUGGGGAUCGGCCAAAGCCCGCGAGGGACGGCCGGCCCCUAAAUCUAGUGGCGGACCCGUCGUGGCCUCCUCUGCGAAGUAGUGAUAUUCCGCAUCGGAGAGCGAUGAGCCCCUGCCGUUAAACCCCCAACUUUCCAAGGUUGACCUCAGAUCAGGUAGGAAUACCCGCUGAACUUAAGCAUAUCAAUAAGCGGAGGA
rnacentral:misc_RNA from 1 species